rnacentral:rRNA from 1 species
UGGGGAAUUUUGGACAAUGGGCGCAAGCCUGAUCCAGCAAUGCCGCGUGCAGGAUGAAGGCCUUCGGGUUGUAAACUGCUUUUGUACGGAGCGAAAAGGUCUGCCCUAAUACGGUGGGCUCAUGACGGUACCGUAAGAAUAAGCACCGGCUAACUACGUCCCAGCAGCCGCGGUAAUACGUAGGGUGCGAGCGUUAAUCGGAAUUACUGGGCGUAAAGCGUGCGCAGGCGGUUUUGUAAGACAGAGGUGAAAUCCCCGGGCUCAACCUGGGAAUUGCCUUUGUGACUGCAUAGCUAGAGUACGGUAGAGGGGGAUGGAAUUCCGCGUGUAGCAGUGAAAUGCGUAGAUAUGCGGAGGAACACCGAUGGCGAAGGCAAUCCCCUGGACCUGUACUGACGCUCAUGCACGAAAGCGUGGGGAGCAAACA